AGAGAAACCACACGUGUGGCCGAAGCUGUCAGACGCCAUAGAGAUAGCUCAAGAAACCACUUUUUGUCUUUACUGCGAUUUUUGUUUAGAAAAAGAAAAUGUCUGACAAAUUAUCUAUGCACCCCCAAUUCCGUUCAAAAGAGGUUUUCUUUCUGGACUGCCGACAUUGUGAGAGUAACGUUUGUCGCCGGGCCAUGGAAUCUGUGCUAGUGGCCGACUCACAAACCAAGUUGUUUUCAACAGAUUGUCCGGAGAAAAGCUCAGUUGAACUGACGGGAGAGAGAUUUGAAACAGAUUCCUGCAAUUGUCAACUCGAAAAUGUAGCCUGUGUCUUUUGGUAGGUUGCAAUUGUGCCUUUUCACUGAGUUUUCAUACAAAAACUAUGAGUAAUAUGGUCUGUCUGACUUGAUAAUACAGAUUUGUCUGGUUAACAGUCACAUAAUGUGGUCCAAAUUAACCAGUAUAAAGUCCUUGUUCCUAUUAACACCUUGAGGACUCUCUGAUAUGUCUUAAGUUUACAGGUAUAGGAAAUUUACAACAUCUUUUACCAUGUCUAGACUUUUAUGUAACUAUACAUUGUAGACUUUAUUACAUUAUAGAUCUGCUGGUAAAUAAAGGUUUAAAGAAUUUGAAAACCAUAGCAACAUUUGAUUAAAAAAAAUAGAGAUGGUAUGGUAACAACAGUAUUUUCAACAUAAUUGGCCUGAUGAGCAGAUCUUUAUUAGAGAAUGUGACAGACAUUAGUAAAGAUCCUUUUAUUACUUUUUGUAUCUGUGUCUUGACAGUGGCAGUGUGCUUGGAUACAAUGUGAGGCUGCCCUGUAAAACUUGUUUACAGUCCUGUAAUAACGGCCAUCUCUGGAUGUUUUACACAGAGAAAAUAUCACCUUACCAGAGAUUUAACAAGAAAGGAGAGGAAGUGUUAUUGUGGGGAAAUAUCCCCGAGAUGUCACAUGACCAUGCCUUGGAUUUUCUUAUUGACGAAUGUCUACGCUAAAUCAUCCAGCCGGCGUCUAUUGUAAUCAGCAACUGCACAGAAAAUGCAGGAGAUCUCAAUGAACUAGUUGUGCUUAUGUUUCAAAUUUGUAUGUUAUAUCUGCAGCAUAAAAUUCAUUUUUGUAUAAAACAGGAAUUUCAUGUACAGUAGCUUCAUAUGUUCCUGUCUUUUGAUGUAUCUCAUAAUUUCAGACUUGUUUGAUUCCAUUAUGUUCAAUGUUUUGUGCAAUAUUAGAGAUUAUUGGUCUGUUUUCCAUGCAGUGUUCAAUGUGUCGGGGACAGACUAAGGAGAUGCAAGGUAGCCACGCGAUGUGGUAGCCAUGUUUUUGUUUGUGUUUCAGAUAAACAUCCGCCUGUGAUAUUUGUAUUCAACUUGUACUUUCUACUGGUAGAGAAAUUAUUCCAGCAUAUCUUUGUGAUGCAUUUGAUAUGUAUAGUGCUAUAAAAUGUUAAACAUUUGGAAUAUUUAAUGUAUUUUAUUGUAUGAGUGCUGUACAGACCUUGUGUUUAUUUUGUUUUUCUCUGGUAGACAAUCUACAUUUAUUAUUUGGCAUUUGUGCUCACAGGUUUUGAGUAAAUAUGUUUGACAAAG
rnacentral:misc_RNA from 1 species